rnacentral:rRNA from 1 species
GUGGGGAAUAUUGGACAAUGGGCGAAAGCCUGAUCCAGCCAUGCCGCGUGUGUGAAGAAGGUCUUCGGAUUGUAAAGCACUUUAAGUUGGGAGGAAGGGCAGUAAGUUAAUACCUUGCUGUUUUGACGUUACCGACAGAAUAAGCACCGGCUAACUUCGUGCCAGCAGUCGCGGUAAUACGAAGGGUGCAAGCGUUAAUCGGAAUUACUGGGCGUAAAGCGCGCGUAGGUGGUUUUGUAAGUUGGAGGUGAAAUCCCCGGGCUCAACCUGGGAACUGCCUCCAAAACUACAUGACUAGAGUACGGUAGAGGGUAGUGGAAUUUCCUGUGUAGCGGUGAAAUGCGUAGAUAUAGGAAGGAACACCAGUGGCGAAGGCGACUACCUGGACUGAUACUGACACUGAGGUGCGAAAGCGUGGGGAGCAAACAGGAUUAGAAACCCUAGUAGUCC